rnacentral:lncRNA from 1 species
GUUUUCGAAGCCCUCAGCUAUAGGUAUAAAAAGUGGCAAUAAGCGACGCAGAAAAUCAUUCGACGGAGACCAGUCUACCAGUAAUGUUCGCAGUCGUCGUAGUCUUGCAGUUUGUGCUCUGCUCGUGCGCAAAAAAAGAAAGCAUCGUGUAUCCAAGUCUCUUGGAAGAAAGAAAGGCUGGGACAAAUUUGGUUCUCAAGGUGAACGACGAUAUAACGCUCAAUCUCGAGAGAAGCUCGGCGCUGGCCGACCAACUUGUCUUUGUUACGAGCGCUAAGGAAAGACACCAUGUGGAAAGGGUAAACACGUCCUAUAUUCAAAAGAGUCUUUACCACGACACGCAUCGCCAGUCUUCUGUGAUGGUACGCAAUGUCGAAGGAGCAGUGGAAGUCGAAGGUAUCCUUGGUACCGAGCUGAGAAUCAAGCCAUUACG